rnacentral:rRNA from 2 species
GAUCCUGCCGGAGGUCAUUGCUAUUGGAGUCCGAUUUAGCCAUGCUAGUUGUACGAGUUUAGACUCGUAGCAGAUAGCUCAGUAACACGUGGCCAAACUACCCUAUAGAUCCGGAUAACCUCGGGAAACUGAGGCUAAUCCGGAAUAGGGCUCUCAUCCUGGAGUGGAGAGAGCCUGAAACGCCCCGGCGCUAUAGGAUGUGGCUGCGGCCGAUUAGGUAGACGGUGGGGUAACGGCCCACCGUGCCAGUAAUCGGUACGGGUUGUGAGAGCAAGAGCCCGGAGACGGUAUCUGAGACAAGAUACCGGGCCCUACGGGGCGCAGCAGGCGCGAAACCUUUACACUGCACGCCAGUGCGAUAAGGGGACUCCAAGUGCGAGGGCAUAUAGUCCUCGCUUUUUGCGACCGUAAGGUGGUCGCGGAAUAAGUGCUGGGCAAGACCGGUGCCAGCCGCCGCGGUAAUACCGGCAGCACGAGUGAUGACCGCUGUUAUUGGGCCUAAAGCGUCCGUAGCUGGCCGCGCAAGUCUAUCGGGAAAUCUCUUCGCUUAACGGAGAGGCGUCCGGUGGAAACUGUGUGGCUUGGGACCGGAAGACCAGAGGGGUACGUCUGGGGUAGGAGUGAAAUCCCGUAAUCCUGGACGGACCACCGGUGGCGAAAGCGCCUCUGGAAGACGGAUCCGACGGUGAGGGACGAAAGCUCGGGUCACGAACCGGAUUAGAUACCCGGGUAGUCCGAGCUGUAAACGAUGUCUGCUAGGUGUGACACAGGCUACGAGCCUGUGUUGUGCCGUAGGGAAGCCGUGAAGCAGACCGCCUGGGAAGUACGUCCGCAAGGAUGAAACUUAAAGGAAUUGGCGGGGGAGCACUACAACCGGAGGAGCCUGCGGUUUAAUUGGACUCAACGCCCGGACAUCUCACCAGCAUCGACAUGUGCAGUGACGGUCAGUAUGAUGAGCUUACCUGAGCAAUGAUAGGAGGUGCAUGGCCGUCCGUCCACCUCGUACGGUGAGACGUCCUGUUUAGUCAAGGCAACCGACGAAACCCCACCCUUAUAUGCCAGCAGCACCCUUGUUGUGGGCUGGGUGACUUAUAAGGAAUGCACAGGUCCCUAAUGGAGGAAGGAACAGGCAACGUAUGUAUAUGCUCCCCCAUCGUAUCUGGGGCGACACGCGCUCAUGGUCAAAAAUGGAUGUCGAUCCCAAGGGAGCAAUCCUAACUCAGUCUGUAUGGAUGAGAGGCUGAAAUUAGCUCCUUCGUGCCAUGUAC